rnacentral:rRNA from 1 species
UACGGGGGGGGCAAGCGUUGUUCGGAAUUACUGGGCGUAAAGCGCGUGUAGGCGGCUUUUCAAGUCGGACGUGAAAGCCCCAGGCUUAACCUGGGAAUUGCGCUCGAUACUGUUGAGCUAGAGUGUGGAAGGGGCUACUGGAAUUCCGUGUGUAGCGGUGAAAUGCGUAGAUAUACGGAGGAACACCAGCGGCGAAGGCGGGUAGCUGGGACAACACUGACGCUGAGACGCGAAAGCUAGGGGAGCAAACGGG